AGUGGCGAACGGGUGAGUAAUACAUCGGAACGUGUCCUGUAGUGGGGGAUAGCCCGGCGAAAGCCGGAUUAAUACCGCAUACGCUCUACGGAGGAAAGGGGGGGAUCUUAGGACCUCCCGCUACAGGGGCGGCCGAUGGCAGAUUAGCUAGUUGGUGGGGUAAAGGCCUACCAAGGCGACGAUCUGUAGCUGGUCUGAGAGGACGACCAGCCACACUGGGACUGAGACACGGCCCAGACUCCUACGGGAGGCAGCAGUGGGGAAUUUUGGACAAUGGGGGCAACCCUGAUCCAGCAAUGCCGCGUGUGUGAAGAAGGCCUUCGGGUUGUAAAGCACUUUUGUCCGGAAAGAAAACGCCGUGGUUAAUACCCGUGGCGGAUGACGGUACCGGAAGAAUAAGCACCGGCUAACUACGUGCCAGCAGCCGCGGUAAUACGUAGGGUGCAAGCGUUAAUCGGAAUUACUGGGCGUAAAGCGUGCGCAGGCGGUCCGCUAAGACAGAUGUG
rnacentral:rRNA from 1 species